rnacentral:rRNA from 1 species
GACGAACGCUGGCGGCGUGCUUAACACAUGCAAGUCGAACGGAAAGGCCCUGCUUUUGUGGGGUGCUCGAGUGGCGAACGGGUGAGUAACACGUGAGUAACCUGCCCUUGACUUUGGGAUAACUUCAGGAAACUGGGGCUAAUACCGGAUAGGAGCUCCUGCUGCAUGGUGGGGGUUGGAAAGUUUCGGCGGUUGGGGUUGGAGUCGCGGCUUAUGAGCUGGUUGGUGGGGUAGUGGCUUACCAAGGCUUCGACGGGUAGCCGGCCUGGGAGGGUGACCGGCCACAUUGGGACUGAGAUACGACCCAGGCUGCAACGGGGGGCAGCGGUGGAGAAUAUCGCACAAUGGGCGGAGGCUGAUGCAGCAACGCCGCGUGCGGGAUGACGGCCUUCGGGUUGUAAACCGCUUUCGCCUGUGACGAAGCGUGAGUGACGGUAAUGGGUAAAGAAGCACCGGCUAACUACGUG